AUCUAGCUGAGGAGUCCCAAAUAGGACGAAAUGCGCGUCUUGGAU
rnacentral:hammerhead_ribozyme from 1 species